AGUAUGUCGCAACAAGAUUUCGUCCUUGUGAUUGGGGUUUUAUUUUGUUCUGCUAUACUAAUAGAACCCGGCUAAUUUUGCAUCAGGUGAUGGGUAUGGACGUCGAUGCGCUCUAUGUAUCUCAUAUCCAGGUGAACCAGGCUCAGAAGCAGAGGCGCCGCGCCUACAGGGCUCAUGGAAGAAUCAACCCGUAUAUGUCGUCUCCUUGCCACAUCGAGUUGAUUUUGUCAGAAAAGGAAGAACCCGUGAGGAAGGAGGUAAGAGUGUGGUUCCAUCUUUUACAAUGUGAACGGCAUAUAAGUUGCCUUGUCGAGUCAUUUUCUUAGAUGCAAUGUUGGUCUUGCAGCCGGAGACUCUGUUGGCAACGAGCAAAUCUAAGAAGUUGCAAGCUUGAGGCGGCGCGGGAAACUCUUUCGAGAGACGGCCCUCGUUUUUGCUUUUGAACUAUUUGCAAUGGUAGUAGUCAGGAGAUUUGCUGUCACCCUUUGGUACGUGAGGAACACUAUUUCCCCAUACGUAGUAUGUCCUAGUCCUCAGGGCUUGCUCUAUUGAAUAUUUUCCAGGUUCUUGGUCAGGACAGUCAAGCGAGCUAUGUACGUGUUCAGGGUACUUCAAACUAAAUUGUUUCCUCAAAUCAAAAUCAGCAUCGCUGUUUUCUUCA